GGAGGGCUAUAGCUCAGUGGUAGAGUGUUAGUCCCAGGUUCAAUCCCUGGCGUCUCCA
rnacentral:tRNA from 1 species